rnacentral:rRNA from 1 species
UACGUAGGGUGCAAGCGUCAUCCGGAAUUAUUGGGCGUAAAGAGCUCGUAGGCGGUUUGUCGCGUCUGCUGUGAAAACCCGAGGCUCAACCUCGGGCCUGCAGUGGGUACGGGCAGACUAGAGUGCGGUAGGGGAGAUUGGAAUUCCUGGUGUAGCGGUGGAAUGCGCAGAUAUCAGGAGGAACACCGAUGGCGAAGGCGGGUCUCUGGGCAGUAACUGACGCUGAGGAGCGAAAGCGUGGGGAGCGAACAGG